AGCAGUCGCCGCGGUAAUACAGAGGGUGCAAGCGUUAAUCGGAAUUACUGGGCGUAAAGCGCGCGUAGGUGGUUCGCCAAGUUGGAUGUGAAAUCCCCGGGCUCAACCUGGGAACUGCAUCCAAAACUGGCGAGCUAGAGUAUGGUAGAGGGUGGUGGAAUUUCCUGUGUAGCGGUGAAAUGCGUAGAUAUAGGAAGGAACAUCAGUGGCGAAGGCGACCACCUGGACUGAUACUGACACUGAGGUGCGAAAGCGUGGGGAGCAAACAGGAUUAGAUACCCGCGUAGUCCCUGUCUCUUAUAC
rnacentral:rRNA from 1 species